UCGUAUUGAAUAUAUUGAAGAAUCUUUUUGAAUAUUGUGUUUUGCUUUGCGCUGAGCGUUCUUGAUCCGUCUCCUGCAUUUAGCGGCAAUAAACAGAAACUCAAACAGUCAGCACUCAGCACUAGUAGCAGCGCACGGUCAAGGUGCCUACUUUUCUGGGUGGAGGCCGAUGGAGUCACACUCAGCACCACUGAUUGGAGCAUCCGCUGUUCGGCAACAGCGAGUCGCGGCCACGGGAGCGGGCGAUCAACCUGGUUGUGGGAUUUCUGACCGCUCUCAUCGUUUUCAUCACCCUCAUCAGCGCCUUCGUCUUCCACGAGUAUUCGCCGAGAGGAGUCAAUAUCUUUCUAGGCGUUAUUAUCGUCCUCAUCUGUGCAUCACAUCUCACCGUGAUAUGGUGGUACCGGCAGGGCGACCUGGACCCCAAGUUUCGCGUGCUCAUCUUUUUCAACGCGUUCUGCAUCGUGCUGCUAUGCGUAUGCGCCAACCUGUACUUCCACCUGCCGGACCCGAACAAAACCUAGAGACGGCCGCGACACCGGGCCGCCGCGCGUCAGCUCUGCGCCCAUAGGCCCGGCUGGCCGGCCGCCCGGUCGCCGCUGGGCGCCGCCGUGCUGGCCGUCACCGUAGCCGUGGCGCUGCCGCUCGCCGUCAGCCUGGCCGCCACGCUGGUCUACCUGCUGCGCCGGCACCUGGCCCGCUGGGCGGCGGCCGGCCGCUGCUGCCGCCGCAGACCGCCCGGCGCGCAGGUCCACCCGCUGCCGCCCGCCGUCUACACCGUGCCGGCGCACAACGGCCACCCGCCCACAGCCAAUGGCGUGCCGCGAACCGGCCAAGGUCACCGGGAUACGGCCAAUCAGAAUGGCCGAGCAGACAGGGGAAAGAAGACACCUCGGCAGAGACCGAUGGAGGCCGAAUUACCACAGAAUGGACCUCUGGUGCUGCAGGGUGAAGCCGAGGACCAUGGACCUCCGCCGUCACUCGGAACCAGUAGUGCGCCAGAGAACGGACCAGUGGUGCUCCAGCCCGUCCGUUCCACGUCGGCUACCCGGUCAUCAGCACCGGACUAUCACGAGAGAGACGAAAAUGGCUCGGCCAUAGGCAGCACCAGCCUCCAAAAAGGUCCUCCGCAACCCGAGGAACGGCCUUAUCCAGCAGACCGUGACGCCGGGCGCGGCUCGUGCCUGCCGGCGGCGGCGGCGCUGGCGCUGUAUGUGGCGUGCGGCGCGCUGGUGCUCGGGGUCUGUCGCCGCCUGGACGCCGGCUCGGCACUGCUCACGGCAGUGCUGGCCGUGACCGGCGGUCAGGUGCCGGUGCUGGCCGGACCGGCGGCCGCCGCCGCUCUGCUGUAUGCCGUGGGUGGGAUGGUGAUUACAGCGACACUGUGCGUCAGGGUGCUCGCGGCGGUCCGGGCGGCGGCCGUCGAAGGUCCGUGAUAGGGUCGUUAGAGGUCUUUGAGACCGUAGAAGGCCUCUGAGAGACGUCAGAGGCCGCUGGACUCGACCAAGGACGUGAGAAAAACAUGGAGGGUACGGGAGCGGACGCAGGAUGCACGGCAGAGCGUGAGGUACGGCAGAGCGUGAGGUACACACGAGGAGGAUGCCGCAUCCUGAUGAUCCUGAUGAUGCACGGCCAAGGGGGAGAGUGGAGCAAAACAGCCUGCCGCAAGGAAUGUGAAGCCGUUCAAAAUGUGCUAAGACACGUCUCCAUCAUAAGGUGAAACCAAGGCCAUGGUUAAUAAAUGAACGACAACCACAUGAAAAAGUGAACAAUCAGGCCAUGGAGGGGCUGUUUGAGGAAAGCUUCAUUAAUUGUCUUAUCAUAACCAUACUACUUCCGACUGCUUUCGGAUCAACAUUGCAUAGAACACUGUGUAAUAUGUACCUAAUAUUAUGUAAUAAGUGAAUGCUAGAGCUGCUGUUUUACUAUAAGCCGUCCAACAUUAAUAUUUUUCGCCAGAACUACUCACACUAACGUGUCUAUUUUCAUCAUGUGUUCAUGGAUUUUCUUCGGAAAACUCAAUAGCUUUAUGUCAUAUGUAAUUCAACGUCAUAUUCUAUGUAUCGCCAUGAAUGUCCUUGUACAGUGUUACUGCGUACCCAGUGUUUCAUCAACGAUGUGUAUCAUGAACUGUAAGCGAUUGCGGCGUCGAAACCAAGUCAUUUGUAAAUUCGUGUCAUCACACCAUACAGAAGGCGGGCCUCGAUAGCUGUCCACUUCUACAGUUGACGAGACGCCCUGCAGCUGGAAAGGAUUGCAGUAUGUGUAUGGAAUAGUCCUCUACAUGUACAACUGAAAAUUGUGCGCACCUCUUUUAUUAUAAAACAAUUCAACAAUAAGGGUGCCAGUCAUUAUUGGUAUUCUUGUACAAUAAAACGGAUUGACGUCACA